rnacentral:rRNA from 1 species
CCUACGGGAGGCUGCAGUGGGGAAUAUUGCACAAUGGGCGCAAGCCUGAUGCAGCCAUGCCGCGUGUGUGAAGAAGGCCUUCGGGUUGUAAAGCACUUUCAGCGGGGAGGAAGGCGGUGAGGUUAAUAACCUCGUCGAUUGACGUUACCCGCAGAAGAAGCACCGGCUAACUCCGUGCCAGCAGCCGCGGUAAUACGGAGGGUGCAAGCGUUAAUCGGAAUUACUGGGCGUAAAGCGCACGCAGGCGGUCUGUCAAGUCGGAUGUGAAAUCCCCGGGCUCAACCUGGGAACUGCAUUCGAAACUGGCAGGCUGGAGUCUUGUAGAGGGGGGUAGAAUUCCAGGUGUAGCGGUGAAAUGCGUAGAGAUCUGGAGGAAUACCGGUGGCGAAGGCGGCCCCCUGGACAAAGACUGACGCUCAGGUGCGAGAGCGUGGGGAGCAAACAGGAUUAGAUACCCUAGUAGUC